rnacentral:lncRNA from 1 species
UCUAUGAAUAAUAUUCUUCCAUAAAAAAGAAAAGAACAGGGCUCAGAGAGAUCCCUUGAAAAAACAAGACCUCAGUUAGGUCCAAAACCAGCUGAGAUGACGAAGCGACAGUAAGGCCAAUGAGCCUGAAUCUUGCGCAAAACCUCAAAAAGGUACAAAAAACAGCCGGCGGGGCCCCGAGGUCACCCCGGAACGGCCGGUGAGGAUCAUAAAGAUGCCUCCCGGAGCAUGAAGACCGGGAUCCCCUAGAACUCCCGGGUAAACAAAGAAGACCAGGAUCCCCCAGAACUCCCGGGAAAACAAAACAAAACAAAAAACAGCCGGCGGGACCCCGAGGUCACCCCGGAACGGCCGGUGAGGAUCAUAAAGAUGCCUCCCGGAGCAUGAAGACCGGGAUCCCCUAGAACUCCCGGGUAAACAAAGAAGACCGGGAUCCCCCAGAACUCCCGGAAAAACAAAAACUGCGGGAAGGGCCCUGAGGUCACCCCGGAACAACAACAGCCAGGAUCUCGUAA